ACCCUCUGGAUGCCUUACCGGAGACUUACCUAAAGACUGGUCUGAGCGGCUAAUGAAGGAGGAAAAGUAAAUCUGAAAUGAACUUGGAAUCUUUAGAGUCAUACAAGUUCAUUUCAAACAUAC
rnacentral:snoRNA from 1 species